UGAAAUCCCCGGGCUCAACCUGGGAACUGCGUUUGAGACUGCAUCACUUGAGUACGGAAGAGGGAGGUGGAAUUCCACGUGUAGCAGUGAAAUGCGUAGAUAUGUGGAGGAACACCGAUGGCGAAGGCAGCCCCCUGGGCCAAUACUGACGCUCAUGCACGAAAGCGUGGGGAGCAAACAGGAUUAGAUACCCUGGUAGUCCACGCCCUAAACGAUGUCAACUAGGUGUUGGGGGAUUAGACUCCUUUAGUACCGCAGCUAACGCGUGAAGUUGACCGCCUGGGGAGUACGGCCGCAAGGUUGAAACU
rnacentral:rRNA from 1 species